rnacentral:misc_RNA from 1 species
AACGCACAUUGCGCCCAUUAGUAUUCUAGUGGGCAUGCCUAUUCGAGCGUCAUUUCAACCCUUACGCCCUGUAGCGUAGUGUUGGGAAUCUACCAGCAGGUAGUUCCUCAAAUCGAUUGGCGGAGUUAGCACAUACUCUAGGCGUAGUAAUACCAUUCUCGCUUCGGUAGUAGUGCUAGCGGCUAGCCACUAAACCCCCUAUAUUUCUAGUGGUUGACCUCGGAUUAGGUAGGAAUACCCGCUGAACUUAA